rnacentral:lncRNA from 1 species
AUUUGCAUGACAUUGGUUAUUUUAUUCAUGAGGUAUUGUAUUUUAUCAUUUAUUGUAUCAUAUUUUUAUGAUUAUGAUAAACCUCAUAAAUUAGAGCAAUGAUUUUAGGAUCAUGAUGAGAUCAUGCCAGUGAGAUCUAAAACUUGAUAGCCCCAAUCUAAAAUAUUUUCAAUCAUUGGAUCAUCGAGUUGGAGAUCGAUGAUG